rnacentral:rRNA from 1 species
GAUCAGUGCUCGAGACGAACGCUGGCGGCGUGCCUAAUACAUGCAAGUAGAACGCUGAAGGAGGAGCUUGCUUCUUCCGGAUGAGUUGCGAACGGGUGAGUAACGCGUAGGUAACCUGCCUGGUAGCGGGGGAUAACUAUUGGAAACGAUAGCUAAUACCGCAUAAGAGUAGAUGUUGCAUGACAUUGCUAAAGUGACGGAAUUAGUCAUCCACUACCAGAUGGACCUGCGUUG